GGGAGUUUUGCUUCGGAAGUAACAGUUACUGGUCGUCUAAUUCCCUCUCCUCAACUGCCAUAUAAUAGACAACUCAAUAAUGAUAUAAAAACAGUGUUUGGCAGACAAGGAUACCCUGAUGGCAUCGACAAAAAUCCCAAUAACGUUUUGCCCUUUCAAUACCCUUCUGACUGCUCUGAAUACUGAUAGACUUCUUAAAACUUGUAACAUACAAAUUAUAAAAAAGUUGAAAACUAAAACCCGACUACGAUCAUCCUAAUAAACGCUGAAAUAAUGGAAUAAAA